AUUGAACGCUGGCGGCAGGCCUAACACAUGUAAGUCGAGCGGAGCGGCGGACGGGUGAGUAAUGCCUAGGAAGCUGCCUGGUAGUGGGGGAUAACGUCCGGAAACGGUUGCUAAUCCCGCAUACUACCAGAUGAGCCUAGGUCGGAUUAGCUAGUUGGUGGGGUAAAGUCUUACCAAGGCGACGAUCCGUAACUGGUCUGAGAGGAUGAUCAGUCACACGGGAACUGAGACACGGUCCAGACUCCGCCGGGAGGCAGCAGUGGGGAAUAUUGGACAAUGGGCGGAAGCCUGAUCAAGCCAUGCCGCGUGGGUGAAGAAGGUCUGCGGAUUGUAAAUCACUUUAAGUUGGGAGGCGUUACCAACAGAAUAAGCACCGGCAAACUUCGUGCCAGCCGCCGCGGUAAUAC
rnacentral:rRNA from 1 species